UCCUGGGUGUCUCAGAUGGUAAAGAAUCUGCCUGCAAUGCAGGAGAUCCAGGUUCAAUCCCUGGGUUAGGAA
rfam:Ovis aries breed Texel chromosome 3, whole genome shotgun sequence.